UACGUAGGGUGCAAGCGUUAAUCGGAAUUACUGGGCGUAAAGCGUGCGCAGGCGGUUUUGUAAGCCAGAUGUGAAAUCCCCGGGCUUAACCUGGGAAUGGCAUUUGGGACUGCAAGGCUGGAGUUUGGCAGAGGAGACUGGAAUUCCCGGUGUAGCAGUGAAAUGCGUAGAUAUCGGGAGGAAUACCGAUGGCGAAGGCAGGUCUCUGGGCCACUACUGACGCUGAGAAGCGAAAGCAUGGGGAGCGAACAGG
rnacentral:rRNA from 1 species